CUCAUAUACUAAGCAUCCAUACUCAGGGCAGGCUCCCAGGAGGAGAACCAUGUUAGGGUGCCUUAUGCAGCACAAUACCUCAACCUGCAACCAGUUCUCACCAGGUCCUACAUUUCUGAUAUUCAAAUGAAUGGCUAAACGCUCUUACCGCAGCUGAUGGCAUCUGGUCACUUUCAUUUGAGAAGGUUGAUAAUUCAGGUGAAAAGCCACCUUGAUCCAGUGACUUCCUUCCAUGAUGCAGUGAUUCAAAGCUAUAGUUGCUGUCAAUGUCAGAGAAGUUUGACAGCCGUGGAGGGGUGCGGCUUGUUUCAGUGUUGUCAUAAAAUGCUGGAAAUAUGCGAUCAAUGCUUGGUCUGCCGGAGCUGACAAAGGAUAUAUCAGUAUCUGGAACCGAGAGUUCACCAUAUGAUUUUCCAGUUAAACCUCUCCUGGUGAAUGGUGACCUGUUUUCAGUUGCAAAAUGUCUCAAGUUAGUCCUUUAAGAGACUGAUAGAUUUUCUGCUUUCUCAUUUGGGUACUAUAGAAGACACAGGGUCAUCGAUAGGAGUCCGGAUGAAUUGUUCUAAAACAUUUCAGGCCUUUUCUUCACUAGCAAACUAGCUAUGUCGUUAAUAUAUGUUUUCAGAGUUUCAUUGUUCCUCUUACAAAGCAAUGACGGUGAGCACUGAGCAUCUCUUACCUGAAGGAUUCUGUAUCGCCAACUGAUUUUCGAGGUAGCUCCAGUGGUGGCUUCUCAGCUACUGAUUGAAAAUACAUCAGUAAUUCAAGAUGAUCAAUGGGAGCUGACUUAGAUCAUGGAAAAUAAAUACAAAGGAAAAGAAGUAAAAAACAAAAUCGUUGACCUCUUUUAACACGAGUACGGGGGGUAUGUGCAUCCAUAGAAGCUGGUGUUGUGCUGUUUUGGUUGAGUUGGUUAUGCAAUGAAGAGUUAACUGGUGAAGAACGGGAGGCAGCCCGCAUGGAUUGUAUCUUCCCUUUGGCUAUAACAUAUACAGUGCAAAAAUCUGGUGCCCCCUUUGACACGCUGCCUGCGACAUCUGCUGCUUUGAAUCUUCUAGGAAGAAAUUUUUUGGAAGUUCAGGAAUUUGGAAUAAAUUUAUGCUCUCAUAAUAUCAUUAGUCUUUACACUCAUCCAGACUGCUAAUGCAAAGCUUGUUAGCCAUGUUCACAUGCCUACUAUCACAUUUCAACAUACUAAUUUAUAAAUAUAAAACAAUUUAUCAUAGCAUCUGACGCUAGUCUAUCUUGUCUGUCACAGCAUUUGAGAUGGAUGCAUUGUGUCGUUUAUAGCAAUAUUUUCAGAAAUCUAACUUCUAAACACUCAUCUUCUAUAUCAGAUAUAAAAGUUCUGGUACAUAAAUUUUCCUGCUAGUGAUUUAUCAAGAGAGGUACAUACCUAAGAAAGCCUCCUUUUGCCGACGCACCAACAAUCAAAGUCUCAAUUGCAGUCUGGGUAACGUAUUCAGUUAAUGCUUUUGCGACAUCCGUGUCUUCCAGUACGACAUCCUUGCAGUUAAUCUGAUGUCAAAGUUGAAUACAGAAGUUUAAAGACUUAGGAAUAUGAUGUAAAAUGUGUGCUUUCUUAAAAGUCCUUCGUGAAUCCAAUUUAUAUAGAAUUCUAGAGCAACUAUACAUGUACUCUUGAUAAUAAUGUAGGUAAAUGUUUCUUGCAGGAUAGGCUUUUCAAGAUUGAGUGUGCAUUGAAAGAAAAUGAAGGUUUCAUCUUCAACACUCACAUCUUUACGUGUGCAGAAACAGCGGAAAGGAAGGAACAAAUCCUUGGAAUCGGGACUGGAUGUGCCAUUGGAAUCAGAAAUUUGGUUCAGCCCUGCAAUAAAAAUGAUCAGGAACAUGUUGAGAAACUUCUCCUAUGUGAGACUAUUUUAAAAGAAAUGUAUUCAUUGCAAA